rnacentral:rRNA from 1 species
UUAGAUACCCGGUUAUUUUUAUGGAAUUUGCUUGGUGUUUGGCGACUACGAAGCUUAAAAGUCAAAGUACUUGGCGGCUUUCUAACUAAUCAGGGGAAUAUGCCAUUUGAGUCCGAUGGCCCGCGGAAAUCUUACCCCACCUUGCAAAAGAGUCAGUCAGUGUACUGCCGUUGUCAGCUGUUGCGGGAAGCAAAUUAAAAGCGGCUGUUUUCAGAAUUCAGGUCGAAGCGCUGCCUAUGGUGGGAGAUUGGGGUAUUACAUUUCGGAUUUGGGGAAAAAUAACGCAAAACGGAAGAUGAACUUGAAAGUAAGAAGAGAAUAGCAUGCUCUCCUGAAUAAGCGUGGAUUGCGUACAAAUCGCCCGUCGCUCUCGCU